UGUCUCUUUCCCCCUCCCUUUGUUCCUUUGCUUUGUUUCUUCAAUUUCACAUAGGAGUGAAAUCAUAUGGUAUUUGUCUUUCUCUGGCUUAUUUCACUUAGCGCUAGACUCUCUAGCUCCAUCCAUGAGAUCGGAAGAGCA